AUUGAACGCUGGCGGCAUGCCUUACACAUGCAAAUCGAACGGUAACAGGGAGCUUGCUCCGCUGACGAGUGGCGAACGGGUGAGUAAUGCGUCGGAACGUGCCGAGUAGUGGGGGAUAACGCAGCGAAAGUUGUGCUAAUACCGCAUACGUACUGAGGUAGAAAGUGGGGGACCUUCGGGCCUCACGCUAUUCGAGCGGCCGACGUCUGAUUAGCUAGUAGGUGAGGUAAAGGCUCACCUAGGCGACGAUCAGUAGCGGGUCUGAGAGGAUGAUCCGCCAAACUGGGACUGAGACACGGCCCAGACUCCUACGGGAGGCAGCAGUGGGGAAUUUUGGACAAUGGGCGAAAGCCUGAUCCAGCCAUGCCGCGUGUCUGAAGAAGGCCUUCGGGUUGUAAAGGACUUUUGUCGGGGAGGAAAUCCCCAGCGCUAAUACCGCUGGGGGAUGACAGUACCUGAAGAAUAAGCACCGGCUAACUACGUGCCAGCCGCCGCCGUAAGAC
rnacentral:rRNA from 1 species